AUGCCAUGAUGGGGACACCUCCCGAUCGUAUCUUUAAACCUCUCCCAAGCCUCAUGGAGAGAUUCAUUCUCUAGCUGACAGAAAUUAUUAAUUUCUCCUCGUAGCUU